UACGUAGGUGGCGAGCGUUAUUCGGAGUUAUUGGGCGUAAAGGGUCCGUAGGGGGUUUGUUAAGUUUGAUGUGAAAUGCUGAGGCUCAACCUCAGAACUGCAUUGGAUACUGGCAGACUAGAGCAUAUGAGAGGAAAGUGGAAUUCCAGGUGUAGCGGUGGAAUGCGUAGAUAUCUGGAGGAACACCAAUUGCGAAGGCAGCUUUCUGGAAUAUUGCUGACCCUGAGGGACGAAAGCUAGGUUAGCGAACAGG
rnacentral:rRNA from 1 species